rnacentral:rRNA from 2 species
CGUUCCCGGGCCUUGUACACACCGCCCGUCACACCAUGGGAGUGGGUUGCAAAAGAAGUAGGUAGCUUAACCUUCGGGAGGGCGCUUACCACUUUGUGAUUCAUGACUGGGGUGAAGUCGUAACAAGGUAACCGUAGGGGAACCUGCGGUUGGAUCACCUCCUUA